GCCAUUUUUUAAGACGCUUCUCAACUGAUACCACUCUUCUCCUACUGUGCUGGAACCUGCUCUUCUUCAUCUUUCGAAGUCGCGAGCUAACGUCUAGCUAGUCGGCUAGAUCAAUUUUCUCAAACUCAUGUAAUUCCUUGACUAGUUGAAUGGGAAAGAAUCUUUCGGAAAGCUAUGAGGGAUAAGGAGAGGAUACUGUUGCAGAGUAUAUCAUUGGCAAAUUCAGGGUUUGAAGUCAUUAUACGAUCAGCAAUGCCUCACAGAAGUCGGCCUUGACAGCACUUCUGCUGUUUACCGGACUUAAUGUUGUUUUGGUCUCAACAAUAACUCCUGUCUAUGAUUUUUUAUGCUUCCAUCCUUAUUGGGAAAGAAGAAGAGAACGUCGGCAUCAGGAACAUGAAGCAGCGUUGAGAGGUUAAGCAUCUGUAUAAGUGUGGUAUCGAGGUUGGGGAUUAUGUUUAGCCGGUCUUUAGUUUAAAUUGGUCAUAAGACAAAACAAACUUAUAGAGGAUGUUGGAGACCUAAUUUGCUUCUGGUUUUAUUGUGUACCCGAGUUUCCUUGGUAUUUGUUUAGAGUAAAAUCAAGCAGAGUACAAGUAUUAAGAAUUACAAUCGGAAGGAAAGAAAUACAAAGAUGAUAUUAGCUGACCUUUUCUUUUCAAAGAGACUUCUAUUACACAUUGUUUGAGGAACCUCUGUUGCUCCCUCUCCGUUGGCGAUUCUUUGGUUGUCAAACCCUGGAUUUGGGUGUAAUAAGAGUAGCUGAAGAAGGCUGCAUUGCUUGUGGUUGCGGUACCACCAUAUCUAGAGAAUUACUCUAAAACUUUUCUAGAUCAAUCUAUAUAGACUAGUGUUCUUGUGCUUUAUGUGAUAAUGCAGCACCAUUGCUCACUUAUUUAAGUGGUCACACAAGAGAAAGAGAUUGGAGGAUUUUGUUUC